AUUGAACGCUGGCGGCAUGCCUUACACAUGCAAGUCGAACGGCAGCACGGGUGCUUGCACCUGGUGGCGAGUGGCGAACGGGUGAGUAAUACAUCGGAACAUGUCCUGUAGUGGGGGAUAGCCCGGCGAAAGCCGGAUUAAUACCGCAUACGAUCUACGGAUGAAAGCGGGGGACCUUCGGGCCUCGCGCUAUAGGGUUGGCCGAUGGCUGAUUAGCUAGUUGGUGGGGUAAAGGCCAACCAAGGCGACGAUCAGUAGCUGGUCUGAGAGGACGACCAGCCACACUGGGACGGAGACACGGCCCAGACUCCUACGGGAGGCAGCAGUGGGGAAUUUUGGACAAUGGGCGAAAGCCUGAUCCAGCAAUGCCGCGUGUGUGAAGAAGGCCUUCGGGUUGUAAAGCACUUUUGUCCGGAAAGAAAUCCUUGGCCCUAAUACGGUCGGGGGAUGACGGUACCGGAAGAAUAAGCACCGGCUAACUACGU
rnacentral:rRNA from 1 species